AACGAACGCUGGCGGCAGGCUUAACACAUGCAAGUCGAACGCCCCGCAAGGGGAGUGGCAGACGGGUGAGUAACGCGUGGGAACAUACCCUUUUCUACGGAAUAGCUCUGGGAAACUGGAAUUAAUACCGUAUACGCCCUACGGGGGCAAGAUUUAUCGGGGAAGGAUUGGCCCGCGUUGGCUUAGCUAGUUGGUGGGGUAAAGGCCUACCAAGGCGACGAUCCAUAGCUGGUCUGAGAGGAUGAUCAGCCACAUUGGGACUGAGACACGGCCCAAACUCCUACGGGAGGCAGCAGUGGGGAAUAUUGGACAAUGGGCGCAAGCCUGAUCCAGCCAUGCCGCGUGAGUGAUGAAGGCCUUAGGGUUGUAAAGCUCUUUCACCGAUGAAGAUAAUGACGGUAGUCGGAGAAGAAGCCCCGGCUAACUUCGUGCCAGCCGCCGCCGUAAAAC
rnacentral:rRNA from 1 species